rnacentral:rRNA from 1 species
GUGGCAGCCGCCGCGGUAAUACGAAGGGGGCUAGCGUUGUUCGGAAUCACUGGGCGUAAAGCGCACGUAGGCGGAUCUUUAAGUCAGGGGUGAAAUCCCGAGGCUCAACCUCGGAACUGCCUUUGAUACUGGAGGUCUCGAGUCCGGGAGAGGUGAGUGGAACUGCGAGUGUAGAGGUGAAAUUCGUAGAUAUUCGCAAGAACACCAGUGGCGAAGGCGGCUCACUGGCCCGGUACUGACGCUGAGGUGCGAAAGCGUGGGGAGCAAACAGGAUUAGAUACCCCUGUAGUC